UACGUAGGGGGCAAGCGUUGUCCGGAUUUAUUGGGCGUAAAGAGCUCGUAGGCGGCUAGUCACGUCGGAUGUGAAAACCCGAGGCUCAACCUCGGGCCUGCAUUCGAUACGGGCUGGCUAGAGUACUGCAGGGGAGACUGGAAUUCCUGGUGUAGCGGUGAAAUGCGCAGAGAUCAGGAAGAACACCGGUGGCGAAAGCGCUCUGCUGGACCUUAACUGACACUGAGGGACGAAAGCUAGGGGAGCGAAUGGG
rnacentral:rRNA from 1 species